rnacentral:rRNA from 1 species
UACAGAGGUCCCAAGCGUUGUUCGGAUUCACUGGGCGUAAAGGGUGCGCAGGUGGUUUGGCAAGUUUGACGUGAAAGCCCCGGGCUUAACCCGGGAAUGGCGUUGAAAACUGCUUGAACUGGAGGGUUGGAGGGGGGACUGGAAUUCUUGGUGUAGCAGUGAAAUGCGUAGAUAUCAAGAGGAACACCAGUGGCGAAGGCGAGUCCCUGGACAAACCCUGACACUGAGGCACGAAAGCGUGGGGAGCAAACAGG